UGAGGAAUAUUGGUCAAUGGGCGAGAGCCUGAACCAGCCAAGUCGCGUGAGGGAAGACGGUCCUACGGAUUGUAAACCUCUUUUGUCGGGGAGUAAUAGGCGGGACGUGUCCUGCUGUGAGAGUACCCGAAGAAAAAGCAUCGGCUAACUCCGUGCCAGCAGCCGCGGUAAUACGGAGGAUGCGAGCGUUAUCCGGAUUUAUUGGGUUUAAAGGGAGCGUAGGCGGAGAGAUAAGUCAGCGGUAAAAAUCGUGCGGCUCAACCGUACCUCGCCGUUGAUACUGUUUUUCUUGAGUGCACACAGGGAUGCUGGAAUUCGUCGUGUAGCGGUGAAAUCUUAGAUAUGACGAAGAACUCCGAUCGCGAAGGCAGGUGUCCGGGGUGCAACUGACGCUGAGGCUCGAAAGUGCGGG
rnacentral:rRNA from 1 species